AGUAUAUAUAAAUCAGGUGCUUUUGUUAUGUUGGACAGUGGGUUACAUCGUUAUUCAUUGAAGGAAGUACAGUUUUACUACCACGACCAUAGCAAGACAAAAUGAAGUUCGCAUUGUUGAUGCUGGUAUUUCUUGUCAUAGCUACAGAUGAUGUGCUCUCCCAAACUCCUCCUCUUUGUGGUUGUAAUCCAAUAAUAAUAGAUCCAGUUUGUUCAAGUUUUGGUGUGACUUUCCAGAACAGAUGUUUCAUGGGAUGCAGCGAUCAUUAUUUUCGUUGCUACGGUCCUUGUCCAUGUAGAUUUUAGCAUGUAUCAGACAAAGAUUUGGGUUUUGGGUUUGUAACCUGUAGCGGUCUCGACAGACAUUAACAGAUGAACUUUAUGUUGCAUUUCUCUUAAAUAAAAUUAAAACUGUGCUGCACAUUGUCAGGCGAGCUGAUCCCAUACAAAGGUGUCGAGUUUAUUUUGUAAAUAAUUUAUUUGAACCCUGAAAAAAGUGGAAAAACUCAGACGGGAAAAAAAACAAGUUAACAGUUUUUCAUCACUUCAUAAACACAUUGCCAUUAAUGUUGUAUUUGGAUAUUUGACAAUAUUAAUAAAACAUAUUGAAUAAUUUUAUUAUUCACCCAAACUGAUACCAACCAGUGAAACCAAAUCAAAACUGGUAAAUUUAACCCUUCAAUUGUAACAUGUUUAAACUGAUAUUCAACUAUAAUAUUUUAGAAAUAAGAAAUAAACAUAGCCUUGAUGGUAACCGAGACUUUCACUCUAGUUAUACUAAAAUACUU